AGAUCCUUGUUGUAGGUGCUUGGGAGCCCUUUGAGAACCAUGAGAAUAGCAGCCAACUGCAGAGAGAAACAGGCUCACCCGUCCAAACACUCGUCCAGCUUUGCUGCGGAUCAGUUCCAGGCUGUCGGGAUUCUUCUUCUGAGGCAUCAGGCUGCUGCCAGUGCUGAAGGAAAGGAAGCCCUGCUGCUGCCCUGACUGCGGUCAAAGAACAAGCCUAGAUGUCUCCUGCCCCUGCAAGGCCCAGGCUGUGGAUAUGGAAAAGGACUUACAUGGCAGCAC